rnacentral:rRNA from 1 species
ACGCUGGCGGCACGCCUAACACAUGCAAGUCGAACGAAGUAGCAAUACUUAGUGGCAGACGGGUGAGUAACAUGUAGGUAUCUACCCUUUGGCCUGGAAUAACACGAGGAAACUUGUGCUAAUACCGGAUAAGUCUUUACGGAGAAAGCUUUAUGCACCAUUGGAUGAGCCUGCACUUGAUUAGUUUGUUGGUGGGGUAAUGGCCUACCAAGACUUUGAUCAAUAGCUGAUUUGAGAGGAUGAUCAGCCACAUUGGGACUGAGACACGGCCCAAACUCCUACGGGAGGCAGCAGUGGGGAAUCUUGCACAAUGGAGGAAACUCUGAUGCAGCGAUGCCGCGUGAGUGAAGAAGGCCCUUGGGUUGUAAAGCUCUUUCGUCGGGGAAGAAAAUGACUGUACCCGAAUAAGAAGGUCCGGCUAACUUCGUGCCAGCAGCCGCGGUAAUACGAAGGGACCUAGCGUAGUUCGGAAUUACUGGGCUUAAAGAGUUCGUAGGUGGUUGAAAAAGUUGGUGGUGAAAUCCCAGAGCUUAACUCUGGAACUGCCAUCAAAACUUUUCAGCUAGAGUAUGAUAGAGGAAAGCAGAAUUUCUAGUGUAGAGGUGAAAUUCGUAGAUAUUAGAAAGAAUACCAAUUGCGAAGGCAGCUUUCUGGAUCAUUACUGACACUGAGGAACGAAAGCAUGGGUAGCGAAGAGGAUUAGAUACCCUCGUAGUCCAUGCCGUAAACGAUGUGUGUUAGACGUUGGAAAUUUAUUUUCAGUGUCGCAGCGAAAGCGAUAAACACACCGCCUGGGGAGUACGACCGCAAGGUUAAAACUCAAAUGAAUUGACGGGGACCCGCACAAGUAGUGGAGCAUGUGGUUUAAUUCGAAGAUACGCGCAGAACCUUACCAACACUUGACAUGUUCGUCGCGACUCUAAGAGAUUAGAGUUUUCGGUUCGGCCGGACGAAACACAGGUGCUGCAUGGCUGUCGUCAGCUCGUGUCGUGAGAUGUUGGGUUAAGUCCCGCAACGAGCGCAACCCUCACUUUUAGUUGCCAUCAUUAAGUUGGGCACUCUGAAAGAACUGCCAGUGAUAAGCUGGAGGAAGGUGGGGAUGACGUCAAGUCCUCAUGGCCCUUACGUGUUGGGCUACACACGUGCUACAAUGGUAUCUACAACAGGAAGCAAGACUGCGAGGUCAAGCAAAUCCUUAAAAGAUACCUCAGUUCGGAUUGCACUCUGCAACUCGAGUGCAUGAAGCUGGAAUUACUAGUAAUCGUGGAUCAGCGUGCCACGGUGAAUGCGUUCCCGGGUCUUGUACACACCGC